rnacentral:lncRNA from 1 species
AGCAAAUUUAUCCGUUUAAAUAAUUAGUUCAAUUAUUUUUUGACAAUUUACUGGGUUAGGCUAUCAUAUAACAACUCUGUCCAUGCUAUUUUAUUUAAAGAAUUGGAGUCCCGAGUGGACUUCAUUCUUUUACAUACAUCCAAACCCAUUGAGGAUCUUCCAAGUCGUAAGGAAGCAUAUUGAACUUAGUGAAGAGCUCCUCAAGAGGAUAAGUCUCCCAUAAUGGAUUGCAGCGAGGAACGAAAAAGACUGUUUGAUUUCACUCCAACCCAUUACUUAUCAGGCAUAAGGGAAGUCAAAUGGAACGCUUGUUCUGUAUUAACUUCUUAUCUUUGUCAUCAUCAAUUCAAUUGAAGACCCAAUUAUCGAUAGCUAUCAAUUAUCAUGAGCCUUCUUCAUCAAAUAACGAAUGUGCGGAAUUGAAUCUAACGAUAGAUAGUGUUUCUUCAUCACUUCCGUAAUUAAAGAAAAAGUCAUUGUAAUGAAGUGGAAUAUAAUUACAUAUAGUGAUCAUAAAGGAUUAAUUUUCAACAAUCCUUCAGUUUCAUUCCACUCUUAACAUAUAGUAAUCGUUUUUCAGUGUAAAGAAGUGUUAAAAUGUAAUUUUUAAAUAAUCAAAUAUUUGAAGGGAUUGAUAAAUUUGGGGAACUGUUCCAUUAAUAUA